rnacentral:rRNA from 1 species
CAAUAGCGUAUAUUAAAGUUGUUGCAGUUAAAAAGCUCGUAGUUGGAUUUCGGGACGGGCCAGUUGGUCCGCCGCAAGGUGUGUCACUGACUGGUCUGUUCUUCUUCGCAAAGACUGCGUGUGCUCUUCGUUGAGUGUGCGUAGGAUUUACGACGUUUACUUUGAAAAAAUUAGAGUGUUCAAAGCAGGCUAUCGCUUGAAUACAUGAGCAUGGAAUAAUGGAAUAGGACUUUGGUCCUAUUUUGUUGGUUUCUAGGACCGAAGUAAUGAUUAAGAGGGACAAUUGGGGGCAUCCGUAUUUCGUUGUCAGAGGUGAAAUUCUUGGAUUUACGAAAGACGAACAACUGCGAAAGCACUUGCCAAGAGUGUUUUCAUUAA